rnacentral:rRNA from 1 species
CACGUAGGCGGAACGGAAAGUUGGGGUGAAAGCCCAGGGCUCAACCCUGGAACUGCCUUCAAAACUCCCGUUCUUGAGGUCGAGGGAGGUGAGUGGAAUUCCGAGUGUAGAGGUGAAAUUCGUAGAUAUUCGGAGGAACACCAGUGGCGAAGGCGGCUCACUGGCUCGAUACUGACGCUGAGGUGCGAAAGCGUGGGGAGCAAACA